AACGAACGCUGGCGGCAUGCCUAACACAUGCAAGUCGAACGAGACCUUCGGGUCUAGUGGCGCACGGGUGCGUAACGCGUGGGAACCUGCCCUUAGGUUCGGAAUAACUCCCCGAAAGGGGUGCUAAUACCGGAUAAUGUCUUCGGACCAAAGAUUUAUCGCCUUUGGAUGGGCCCGCGUUGGAUUAGCUAGUUGGUAGGGUAAAAGCCUACCAAGGCGACGAUCCAUAGCUGGUCUGAGAGGAUGAUCAGCCACACUGGGACUGAGACACGGCCCAGACUCCUACGGGAGGGAGGAGUGGGGAAUAAUGGAAAAUGGGGGAAAGGCUGAACCAGCAAAGCCGGGUGAGUGAUGAAGGCCUUAGGGUUGUAAAGCUCUUUUAACCGGGAUGAUAAUGACAGUACCGGGAGAAUAAGCUCCGGCUAACUCCGUG
rnacentral:rRNA from 1 species